rnacentral:rRNA from 1 species
UGGGGAAUAUUGCACAAUGGGCGCAAGCCUGAUGCAGCCAUGCCGCGUGUGUGAAGAAGGCCUUCGGGUUGUAAAGCACUUUCAGCGAGGAGGAAGGUGGUGAACUUAAUACGUUCAUCAAUUGACGUUACUCGCAGAAGAAGCACCGGCUAACUCCGUGCCAGCAGCCGCGGUAAUACGGAGGGUGCAAGCGUUAAUCGGAAUUACUGGGCGUAAAGCGCACGCAGGCGGUUUGUUAAGUCAGAUGUGAAAUCCCCGGGCUCAACCUGGGAACUGCAUUUGAAACUGGCAAGCUAGAGUCUCGUAGAGGGGGGUAGAAUUCCAGGUGUAGCGGUGAAAUGCGUAGAGAUCUGGAGGAAUACCGGUGGCGAAGGCGGCCCCCCUGGACGAAGACUGACGCUCAGGUGCGAAAAGCGUGGGGAGCAAAACAGGAUUAGAUACCCUGGUAGUCCACGCUGUAAAACGAUGUCGAUUUGGAGGUUGUGCCCUUGAGGCGUGGCUUCCGGAGCUAACGCGUU